CCUACGGGUGGCAGCAGUGGGGAAUAUUGCACAAUGGGCGCAAGCCUGAUGCAGCCAUGCCGCGUGUGUGAAGAAGGCCUUCGGGUUGUAAAGCACUUUCAGCGGGGAGGAAGGCGGUGAGGUUAAUAACCUCAUCGAUUGACGUUACCCGCAGAAGAAGCACCGGCUAACUCCGUGCCAGCAGCCGCGGUAAUACGGAGGGUGCAAGCGUUAAUCGGAAUUACUGGGCGUAAAGCGCACGCAGGCGGUCUGUCAAAUCGGAUGUGAAAUCCCCGGGCUCAACCUGGGAACUGCAUUCGCAGCUGGCAGGCUAGAGUCUUGUAGAGGGGGGUAGAAUUCCAGGUGUAGCGGUGAAAUGCGUAGAGAUCUGGAGGAAUACCGGUGGCGAAGGCGGCCCCCUGGACAAAGACUGACGCUCAGGUGCGAAAGCGUGGGGAGCAAACAGGAUUAGAUACCCUUGUAGUC
rnacentral:rRNA from 1 species